rnacentral:rRNA from 1 species
AGAGUUUGAUCAUGGCUCAGAUUGAACGCUGGCGGCAGGCCUAACACAUGCAAGUCGAGCGGCCGUAGCAAUACGGCAGCGGCAGACGGGAGAGUAACACGUGGGAACGCGCCCUUCGGUUCGGAAUAACUCAGGGAAACUUGGGCUAAUACCGGAUACGCCCUAACGGGGAAAGAUUUAUUGCCGAAGGAACGGCCCGCGUCCGAUUAGCUUGUUGGUGAGGUAACGGCUCACCAAGGCGACGAUCGGUAGCUGGUCUGAGAGGAUGACCAGCCUCACUGGGACUGAGACACGGCCCAGACUCCUACGGGAGGCAGCAGUGGGGAAUAUUGGACAAUGGGCGCAAGCCUGAUCCAGCCAUGCCGCGUGGGUGAUGAAGGCCCUAGGGUUGUAAAGCCCUUUCAGCGGGGAAGAUAAUGACGGUACCCGCAGAAGAAGCCCCGGCUAACUUCGUGCCAGCAGCCGCGGUAAUACGAAGGGGGCUAGCGUUGCUCGGAAUUACUGGGCGUAAAGCGCACGUAGGCGGAUUGUUAAGUCGGGGGUGAAAUCCUGGAGCUCAACUCCAGAACUGCCUUCGAUACUGGCGAUCUCGAGUUCGGGAGAGGUGAGUGGAACUGCGAGUGUAGAGGUGAAAUUCGUAGAUAUUCGCAAGAACACCAGUGGCGAAGGCGGCUCACUGGCCCGAUACUGACGCUGAGGU